UACGUAGGGUGCAAGCGUUAAUCGGAAUUACUGGGCGUAAAGCGUGCGCAGGCGGUUAUGCAAGACAGAUGUGAAAUCCCCGGGCUCAACCUGGGAACUGCAUUUGUGACUGCAUGGCUGGAGUGCGGCAGAGGGGGAUGGAAUUCCGCGUGUAGCAGUGAAAUGCGUAGAUAUGCGGAGGAACACCGAUGGCGAAGGCAAUCCCCUGGGCCGAUACUGACGCUGAGGAGCGAAAGCGUGGGGAGCGAACAGG
rnacentral:rRNA from 1 species